GCAAUUUUAGAUUUAUGGAAACAUUGUGAUAGUACAGAGCAUUCUUCCACGCCCAGUACCCAAUUUUUGCUAUUAACAUCUUAACAUUAGUAGAGUACAUUUGUUAAUAAACCAAUACUGAUAUGUCGUUGAGAAGAGUGGAAAUAUUUUAAUAAAAAUCAUUAAUUGUUACAAAAUUUCCGGGGAAGAUGGUAGUCUAGGAAAAUAAAAAAUGAACCAGAACCAGAAAAGAAAUUUCUCUUCUUUUCUUAAUAUGUUGUUGUUAAUUCUCUCUCACACUCUGUCUCUCUCUCUCUUUUGGCAUAAACAACAAACAUUAUCUCACACUGUCUUUAGGUCAGAAGCUCAGAAAUAUCUCAGAGUCUCUCAUGAGGUUGCACUCAAAUAAUUCUUCUUUCCUUUUUUUUCUUUUUUCCUAAGACGAAGUCUCACUCUGUUGCCCAGGCUGGAGUGCAGUGGCACAAUCUCAGCUCACUGCAACCUCCGCCUCCUUGGUUCAAGUGAUUCUCCUGCCCCAGCCUCCCGAGUAGUUGGGAUUACAGGCACCCGCCACCACGCCCAGCUAAUUUUUGUAUUUUUAGUACCAUGUUGGCCAGCCUGGUCUAGAACUCCUGACCUCAAGUGAUCUACCUGCCUCAGCCUCCCAAAGUGCUGGGAUUACAGGCAUGAGCCACCGUGCCUGGCCCAAGUAAUUCUUAAUUUAGUUAUUAAUUAAAGUCCAUACUUUAUUAAGAUUGGAUUCAUUUUUACCUAGUAUUAUAUUUCUGUUCCAGGAUCCCCUCCAAGAUACCAUAUUACAUUAAGCUAUCAUGUCCUCUUGGCUGUGACAGUUUCUCACUUGCCUCGUUUGUGAUGACCUUCACAGUUUUAAGGCGUACUGCUCAAGUAUUUUAUGGAAUGUCCUUCAAGUGGAACUUGUUUUUCUCAUGAUUAGACCAGGGUUAUAUGUUUUUGGGAGAAAGACUACAGAGAUAAAGUGCCAUUGACGUCAUAUCAAGGGUCCUAUUGUUAACAUGACUCAUGAUGGUUAAUGUUGACCUUGAUCAUCUGACUGAGGUAGUCUGUCAAUUUUCUUCACUCUAAAGUUAUCUUUCCUUGCCUUUCCAUAUUGUACUCUUUGGAAAGAAGUCAUUAUGCACAGCCCACACUUAAGGAAUGGGGAGCUAUGCUCUACUUCCUUGAGUAAGCAGUGUUUACAUAAAUUAUUUAGAAUUCUUCUGUACAGAUGAUUGGUCAUUCUCCCUCAUUUACUUAUAUGUUCAAUCAUUUAAUUAUAUCAGUAUGGACUCAUGAAUAUUUAUUUAUUUUAUACUUUGAUUAUAAUUCAAUAUCAUUUCAUUUUGUUGCCCAAAUUUUUCCAGCUUUGGCCAUUGGGAGCUCUUACAGUUGACCUAUGUGCUCCUUUGACAUACCCCUCAUCAAUGUGGGGGUUUUUUGGUUUUGUUUUUUGAGCACUUUCUUACUUUAUGGCACAACAAGAUGCUCCAGGCUCAUCAUGUACAUUUACUACCUCAGUCCUAGAAUCAGCCAUUUCUCAAGGAACUCUAGUUCCUUUUUUUUUUUUCCCCCAAGACAGAGUCUCACUCUGUUAUCCCACAGCCUCAACCUCCAAGGCUCAAGUGAUCCUCUUGUCUCAGCCUCCUGAGUAGCUGGGACUACAGGCAGCUGCCACCACUCCCAGCUAGUUUUUAAAUAUUUUUUUGUAGAGAAAGGGUCUCACCAUGUUGCCCAGGCUGGUCUCCAACUCCUGGGGCUCAAGCAAUACUCCCACCUGGACUUCCCAAAGUGCUGAGAUCACAGAUGUGCCACUGUACCCUGCCUGGUUCCUUUUAUUAAAGUACAGUAUUUGAAAGUAAAAUCUAGGUACUAGGAGUUCUCAUUGUUACUGGAAUUAAGGUUUUACAGUUUUUUAAAUUUUUUUUUAGUUUGAGAGUGUCAGGAGGUCUGGCCUGUCAUAGGAUUUUAAUCUUCUAGUGCUUAUUUACUCUGCUCAGUUUACUUUGGUCAACGGUUGCAGGUCUGCCUUGCAGGUCACUGUUAACCCUUCAGCCUCCCUUCACUUCCCAAUUUUCAGUCAUGGGUCAGCAAACUGAGUCCUGAAAAUAAAUAAAAAUGCAAGAUACAUCUUCUCUUCUUCAGUCCUACCUUCCUUAACGUCUGAAAAUGAACCCCAGGGUGUAUUUCUUAAUUUUUCCGUGGUGCACCUAGGUCCCAGUUCUUAUUUCUUCACAUUUCAAAUUGCUUCUGGGCCUUCAGGAACAUCUCGUUUACUCACUAAAAAUGGCACGGAGUGACUAUUUGGAGGAAAUGUUUGUCAAAUCUCACCGCUUUCCUUGAUUUGGGUACAAAUUGAAGUUAUUCUUCACAGUCUGUAAUGGGUCAUGUCAGUUGCAUAGUUUGACUAUAGUUGAAAUUUCUUUUUUGGUUCUGGUUCAUUUUUUUGUGUAUUUUCCUAGACUGCCAUCUUCCUUUGAAGUUAAGUACCAAUUAAUGACUUUCUUUUUUUUCUUUUUUUUUUUGAGACAGAGUCUUCUGCUCUUUCCCAGGCUGGAGUGCAGUGGUGUGAUCUCGGCUCACUG
rnacentral:lncRNA from 10 species